rnacentral:pre_miRNA from 14 species
ACUCAUCUUCGCUCUGGGGUAUGGGACGGAUGGUCGACCAGCUGGAAAGUAAUUGUUUCUAAUGUACUUCACCUGGUCCACUAGCCGUCGGUGCCCGCCGCAGCCUGCGCCAGGAU